AGAGUUUGAUCCUGGCUCAGAAUCAACGCUGGCGGCGUGCCUUAUCCAUGCAAGUCGAACGCGAAAGCGGCCUUCGGGCCGCAAGUAGAGUGGCAGACGGGUGAGUAACGCGUGGGUGACCUGCCUUCGAGUGGGGGACAACCCUCCGAAAGGGGGGCUAAUACCGCAUGACAUCCUGUUCUUGGAUGAACAGUGAUAAAGCCGGGGAUCUUCGGACCUGGCGCUUGUUGAGGGACCCGCGUCCGAUUAGCUUGUUGGUGAGGUAACGGCUCACCAAGGCGACGAUCGGUAGCCGGCCUGAGAGGGCGGACGGCCACACUGAGACUGAGACACGGCCCAGACUUCUACGGGGGGCAGCAGGAAGGGAUUGUUCGCAAUGGGCGAAAGCCUGACGACGCAACGCCGCGUGGAGGACGAAGACCUUCGGGUCGUAAACUCCUGUCGAGCGGGAAGAACGGCCCGCGGGUUAAUAGCCCGCGGGUGUGACGGUACCGCUGAAGGAAGCCCCGGCUAACUCCGUGCCAGCACCCGCGGUAAUACGGGGGGGGCAAGGUUGUUCGGAUUUACUGG
rnacentral:rRNA from 1 species